rnacentral:lncRNA from 1 species
ACGAGCAGCUUGCAGACUGUAUUUUUAAUUUGUGGGAUUACUGUUCCUAUAGCUGAAUGCUUACCCGGUCUUGUUAGAAUAUCCGUUGUUUGCCUUGGAGCUCUUCAAUCAGACGUAGUUGCUCUUGCUUAUUGGGAAUUACCGCUGCACGUAACCGGCGUGGGAGUAUGAGAAUGCGCUUUUAUCAAUACAGGGACGUGAGAGGAAUUCCUUGAAGGUAGUACUCAAGGGAUGGGGAAAAGGGAGAUAUCGCUAACUGGGGAGGGAGAAGAUUUAUGGUCGUUGGGGAGAAAAAUGAGACGUCGCCGGUGUCGGGGCUGCCGGCAGUGAAGUGGGGGAGAGAGCCGAUUGGGAAUUGGGGGAGAGAGGAGCCGACAGAGAGAGGGAAGUG